GGUAAAAUUGGUUUGAUUUUGUAGUUUAUGUUUAAGUACAACAUUAAAAAUAUGCCUUUUAUCCAGCUAUAAAAUGUACUUUGCAUAAUUUUUGAAGCAUGAAAAAGACACACAUAACUGAGGAGACAACCUUUACAGACAUCUGAUCACAAUCAAAGCUGGCAAAUAGGAAGGACCUUCUUGUUUACCUAUAAGAAUAAAAUUCUUCAAACAAUUUCUCUGGAGUUCAUUCACAAAGUAUUCCUCCUGGUAGAUAUUGAGGAGUACAUGACAUAACUUUUAGAAUAAAAAUAAACAAAAGAAAACCACAUCAUAGGUUUAGGGUGAGCAGUGAGAAGAUAGUACUGAAUUAAGCUAAAUUAGAUUUACUAGAGUGUCAGACAUAAAUACAGUUUUGUGUUUACUGUUAGUGGAGACAGCGUCUAUUUUAAACAGAGGAUGGUGUAUUUUAACAUUGCUAUACAUAUAUUUCGGAGGCACAAAUACAGACAUAGAAAAAAGUUUCAUCUUACUGAUAUGUGAGAGUUUCUGUAUGUCAUAUUUAAGAAAAACUUUAAUAUUGCCUAGUGAGCAUUAUAUUACAUUCAUAUUUUGUUGACUGUAUUCCUUCACACUUCAGAAACUUCAACAAGACCUGGUAUCUGGUAAAGAAACUGAGGCCGUCUAACAUCCAGCUCUGUAAAUAUGAGACUACUGGGGAAAGAAAGAGAUUUGUAAGAGAGAAAAAGAAACACAAAGCGAAAAGGAAUGCUCAAGUCAAAAACAGUCUGAAAUCUGCCUAUUUGGGGGUGAUGAUGCACUCGCCAUCAGCUAUUUAACCUCAGAACAGUUUUAUAAAUGGAGUAAAUUACGACAAUGGUCUACAGACACCUUCGCUGCUCAUCCUGCAUUUUCUUUAGCACUGAUUAACAGCAGUCUUGUAUUUUUAUGUCUAUAUCUGUAAUUACGAAAUUUCUACAUUGCUCACCAAAAUGAAAAGCUGGGUAGACUCUUAGUAUGGGUGUGGUGGUGCCCACCAGGCUUCUUUUUCACUCCCACCACCUUCAACAGGACACAGGGAGAAAACACAAUGGAAAAGCUUGUGUGCUGAGACAAAGGCAGGGAAAUCAUUCACCAGUUACAGUCAUGGGCAAAACAGGCUUUAUUUAGGGAAAUUAAUUGAUUGACAAUUUUUUGUAACAGAGCAGGACAGUGAAAAAUAAGAACACAACUAAAACCACCUUCUACCUCUCCCUGCCAUGCUUCUUCCCAGGUUCAGCUUCACACCUUACUCUUCUAUCUCUCCCUCCUUGCUUCAUCUAUUGCUUCAUCUAUUCCAUUUCUUCCUCCUCAUGUACUUCUCCAGCCCCAGCACUGGGUCCUUCUCACAGGAUACAGUCUUUCGUCAAUUGCUUCAGUGCGGGUCCUUCCCAUGGCCUGCAACUGCUCCAGUAUGGGUCCCCCAUAGGACACAGUUCCUGCCAGAAAAUCUGCUCCUGCAUGGACUCCUCCGUACAGGCUGAAGAGAGAGAAAUCAAAUUUUCAGUAAGAGGCCUUUGAAGAAGGAUGUGUUGAUGUUUUUGAAUGUUUUAAUUCUUCUACUUGAUGGGGAAGAUGUUUGUCUCAGUAAUAUUUGUUGCAGCAGAUUGCCUUGCAAUUAUUAAUAAAGGUUAGAAUUAUAAGAUUAAUAUUGCAUGUACAAUGACAGUAAGCAUUUCUGCUUUUAGAAAUUGAAGGAUUUAGAUAAUGUAUGCUCCCAUGCCACUAUUAGUACAGAUUCAAACUACUCUGAUCUACUGUGAUUGUUAAAUAGUGAAUAUAGAAAGCAAAGAAUGAGCUACAAAUCAGUUGUAAUUUAGGAUACUGUACUGGCUUGGGCUGGAAUAGAGUUAAUUUUUUUCGUAGUAGUUUUUAGAAUACUAUGUUUUGGCUUUGUGACAAAACAGUUUUGAUAACACAGGGGUGUUUUAGCUAUUGCUAAACAGUGCUUGCACAGCAUCAAGACCUUUUUUGUUUCUCACUUCAAUCCACAAUCAAGCAGGCUGGGACUGCACAAGAGGUUGGGAGGCAACACGGCUGGAAUAGGUGACCCCAAAUGACAAAAGAGGUGUCCCAUGCAAUAAUGUCGUGCUCUGCAGCAAAAACUGGGGAAAAGAAGGAGGAAGUGGGGGUGUUGUGGAGUUAUGGCAAUUGUCUUCUCAAGUAACCAUUUGCAUGAUGAAACCCCGAUUUCCUGGAGAUGGCUGAACACCACCUGCCUGCUAUUAGGAAGCAGUGAAUGAAUCCCUUUGCUUUGCUUGAGUGUGCAGCUUUUGCUUUCCCUAUUAAAAUGUCUUAAUAUCAACCUGUGAGUUUUCUCAUCUUACAUGUCUGAGUCGCUCCCCCAUCCCGGUGGGUGGGAAUGAGUGGCUGUGUGGUGCUUAGCUGCCUACUGGCGUUAUCACACGACAGAUACAAAACACAAAGUACACCCACAUAGCCUAUUCAAAUACAUACAUAUAUGUAAAAACCUUCUUGUUUCUAAUGACCACUGUAAAAGAUUAACUAUUUAAGUAAUCAGAAGUUAAGCAGAUUUUAUCUGAAGAUCUCUUUGCCUAACAUUUGUUUUUCACUUAACUUUCCUUCUUAACUUUCAACCAAAACUUUAUUAUUUAGCAAGAUAGUAUCAGCUUUAAUGGAUUCCUGCUCAAAAAUUUUGGAAGUCAUUGUUGUAUAAAGAUAUCUGAAAGUAUAAUCCUAUAUAAACAAAGAUUUCUAAAAGAGAAGUAAUGAUGAAUUAAAAUAUCUGGGUAUUCUAACUUGCAAAAUGGUGUGUAAAAUAUCCAGGAGAGUAAAACUUUUAUUUUAAAAACAACAAUUGAAAUAAAGGCAUACUGGAAGAAGAACAAUAACAAAACAAACUAACAAAUCACCCCCAACCCCCCAAAACAACAAACAAAAGCAAAACCUGGUCCCUGCUUUAUGUACUUCAGGAGAUAUCUCAUGUUAUGGACUACACCAAUCAUAGUGUGUACUCGAGCACUUCCGUAUGGUGGUUGAGGGUAUGUACAGGUUAACCUUUCAUGGGUUUAGCACGAGGUAAUGGCUUGUUAUGUCUUAGAUAUCAUUAAGUUCUAGUCCUCUGGACGGAGAAUGUGGUGGGGAGGUUAUUGCUCGUCUACAUAUAUGCCUUAAUACAUGCAUAUAUUAAUGGAUCGUUUGAGGAUUAUGGGGAUGUAUAACUAGGAAAUAGAUAAUAUGCCUGGGUACACGUUCCUGUGUUUUAUGACUACACUACAUAUGGUUUUUAAUACGUAUGGGGGUCAUGAAUAUGGUAAAUAAAUUGAUGCACUGUAGUAUGUAGGACACAAGUGCAACAACAACAACAACAACAAAAUGCCCCAAAAAGACCGAAACAAGCUCAAAACAAAAUCACAAUGUGUUAUAGAACUCUAAAUGGCAAAUGAAAACCUAGGAAGAAAAAUAAAUAUGUUUUUAAUUAAAUAAAAGCACUUGUAAAAUUGGGCUAGUUUUGAAUUUUAUUAUCUGUAAAUAUGCAUACUUGAAAUUUACACUAAAGAAAUAUAAAUCUGAAGAAACUUUCAUACUGAACCAAUAUCUUCACUGACAGAUGGUGUCUGAUAAAAGAAUAUGCCCCAAAGAUUAAUUUCAAUUAAUUUUUCAGACUUCUGGCAUACUGAAAUGAGAGAAUACCUUCUCAGAAUUUAAACAAGAUCUAUGACAAAAUCUUAUACAGUUCCAAUACAAAACAUCGUGCGCAAAUGUUUCCCCACACUUAUACAUUAUAAGUGUUCUACAUUUAAUGCUUUGAUUUUUAAAAGGAACAUGUCACAGAACACUUUUGUUUUGGUUCAGAUACUAGAAGACUUUAUCAUAUAGGUUGCAAGAUAAGCUCAGAUCAGUGAUUGUCACUGCCUGUUGAGUACCAGUGCUUAUUAGUCACUUCUAAUUCAUGGUAAAAUGUAAAUGUAACAUCGUAUUUUCUGUAUUUGGGCUGUCAGCACUAUGUAAGUUUUUUUCUAGAAUAAUUAAACUGAGUUUUGUAAUUCAGUAAUUCAUUUUUAUGUUUCAGUACAUAAUUUACAACUAAUUAGUUAUGGAAGAAACUCACUUAUUCCACCUUUCGUGGAAGAAGAUCAUGUUAAGGAGCACUUGGAAAAGCUGGACAAACAUAAGUGCACGGGGCCUGAUGGGGUACAUGGGGCAUGAUGGGAUGCACCCACAACUGCUAAGGAAGUUGGCUGAUGCUACUGUGAAGCCACUUUCAGUUAUCUUUGGUAGGUCACGGUGGUUGGAAGAGUGUCCUGAAGACUAGAAGAAAGAAAAUGUCACUCUUGCCACUCUUCAAGAAAGGCAGGACGUGGAAUCUACAGAAGUGGUGUGGGGUUUUUUGCCUUUUUUGUUUGUUUGUUUGUAAGAUUUUUGUUUGUUUCAUUUUGUUUUGUUUUGUUUUACUAUUUUCAUUAUUUCUUAUUUCUAUUCAUUUCUUUGAAGUUGGAAGUUAUUGAACAGAUAAAAAGGAAUAUUCGGUUUUGAAAAUAUCAAAGUAGCAUACCUCUUUUUUAAACUUCUUAUUGAGGAGCUGAAGAUGAGAACUCUGUGAAAAUGGAUCCUUCUUCAUACUUUGUUUCAGCUGAAAUAAGCUACAAUAAACCCAAGGAAUUCUUGUGACAUAUAUUAUUUCGUAGAACAAUCCCUCUUGGUAAUUCCUGAGAUCUAGGUGAUCCAUGUUUAGUCACCACCUUUUAUGACAUUCUCAAACCAUACAACAGACUUAUACAGUGUGGUCACCUACCUGAAUCACCUUGUUUUUAGCACAACACAAUAGAGAAGGCUAUAUAUUGCUUCCUCUUACAAAUAAGCCCCUAUUAAUACAUACAUUAAUUUACAUUAAUUUUCAACAAUAUAUCUUUUUUCCAUUUCUGGCCUAAUUACUUUAUUGUUUCUGGAAAUCCAUUAGCUCUGAUGCAAUUGUAUUCACAGAAUCCCUGAAGUUGGAUGAUACGACUGGGGAUCCUCUCAUUUAGCUCCCAUGCUCAAGCAAGGUCAGCUAUAGCAAGCUGCUAAAUUUAAGUGGAAUUUCCUGGUUUUCAAUUCACACUCAUUACUGAGGGCACUACUGAGGAAUGUCUGGAUCUGUCUACUUCUUACAAGCAUUCUCUUCUCUAGGCUAAAUAGUCCCAGCUCAGUCAGCCCCUCCUCAUAUGAAAUAUGCUACAGACUCUUAAUCGUCUUCAUGGUUAUCAUCUUCUCGGUCAUGUUAUGUCCAGGAUGUCAAUGUCUAUAUGUCUGUCUCUCUUGGAUGACUUUGUUGCUCUUUUUUUUAACAGUAAGAUAAUCCUUUGUUAUAUCUUCUGUACUGACUCAUUUAUUAAGGUCAUGCAUUGUUUUAUGUUGGCUAACUCUAGUUUACAUGACAUAUUUUUACUCUGAGGUUUAAAGAGACUGAUUUAUUGAGCGAAAGAGCCACCAAUCAGGCAAUUUUAUGAGAUCACUCUUCUGUUUGUUUCAUGGUAUUAGUAUUUGCUCAAUAGUCACUAAUUUUUCACAUGUGUCUGUAAACAGGGACAUGAAAACAGUUGUAGUGAACAUAUUUUAAGAUGCAUGCCAAUACACACAGAAGAAAGCACUGAGUAUGUGCCCAGAUCUAUUCCUCUGUGAUUUCCUAGCCAGACUGAAAGAUGAUGAUGCAUUCCAUGUAAGGACCACCAUAUUUUUGCAUUGCUCCCAGUGCCCCUUAGGAAGAAAAUGUAACUCACGGAGACUGAUCUCUUUCCUCUUGGACAGAGUCUAUUUCAACAGAUCUGUGUAUAGUACACAUUUUAAUUUUGGGGUAACUAUUCUACCAAGUAGUUAGGAACAGUGGAAUUAAAGUGAUGUUCAUAUAAUAAAGUAUUUUGACAAGUGGGAAGAGAGUAAAUAGGAUCUCUUUUGACUCCAGACUUUUAAUUUUUUUUCCAGUGGCUUCUGAAUAACAUGUGAAGAGUGUAUUUAAUACCUCAUACAGAUGCCCUUUGAGAUAUGACCAAAUUAGUUUUGUAUGAUUUAAUAUCAACUAGCUCUUCUCUAUAUUUAGCUGUGAAGUGCUUAAAAUGUUCCUUUUUAAAUCUAGUGCAUUGUCUCUUGGAAACAUUAUGAUGCUUUGGCUUAUGGUGAAUAAUCCAGUAUAAUGAGAGUUGUCUGACUGAAGUCGGCUCAUUUGCAAAAUGCCUUUCAUCACAGUCUAUUCCAGUCCUUACAGUCCUCAAACUUUCAUUAUCUUCUCCACAUCUUUAAUUUUAGGGCAUUUCAGCAUGCCUAAAGGAGUUCAGUUGAUUUAACAGUCUUCUUAUUAAUGUUUACUGUUUUACAGAGCUUAGCAUUAUUGUAAAUCUCAGGCACUUAGUGUGAGAGUUACAAUUAUUUUAGCUACUUUUUUUUUCCUAUAAGUCUUUGUGCUGGUAUUAUAAGAAAUGAAUUGUUAAAAGGAACAGGUGACCAAAAAAGGUAAGGAAGGAGAAAGAAAAGCUUGAAGAAUCAGUUAAUGGACAUGAUUUCAGUUUAACAAGAUUACAUUAGCAUUAUUCAAGAAAAUGGGAAAGUGAGACUUUGAAGGUUUUUUUUGGGUGUCUUAGUCUAACAGAAGAUAGCUUUCAUAUGAUUCAGAAAGGAUUUAUAACCUGCUUGAGCAAUAAAAAUUGUGUCACAAAGACCUGAUUCAUAAAAAUUCUCAAUAUGAGUAAACCAGGAAAAAUUAAAUUGAUCAAAAAGUGAAGCCUUACCAAGGAUGGUGAUGUGAAUAGUGGCUUCCUUAAUGAGCAAUGAAGUGACUGAAAAUUUACCACAAUCCAACUUUCUUAUUGUAACAUAAUUUAAGUUAUAAUGCAAAGCUGAUCUCAUGCAAAAAAUUUUAAAGACUACUGUCCAGCAUGACUCAUAGCCACUAUAUUUUUUUCAGACAUACUCUUACUUGCCACAGACCAGUGAAGAGGUUUUAAUCUCUUUAGUUUAUCCUUUGCCCUGUGUCUGGAUGACCUUAAUUCAAAGGCUGGUUCUGCUAUCAGAUCUACAGUGAGGCUGUAUGAAUGGUAUAACAAAUAAAUAUCCAAUCUUCGCUAAAUAGUAGUCCAUCUAAUGGCUUAUUUUUACUACAGUUUCUCUGACUGAAGUUAAUGGUUUUAGAAUAAGGAGAGGAAAAGAAGACACCAGCAGAAUUUCAGUUAUAGAACUCAUUUUAGUGUAAAGUUGAGAUGAAGAGAGAAAACACUGAGAGACAAUUUGGAAGCCUACAAUAUAAAGUAACAAAUUUAUGCGAGCUGGAACAUCACAAGAGCAGAUAUUCCUGUGUUAGGCUUUUGGGGUGCAAACACUGCUACAUGCAAUGAAAUUAAGGACCUUGUCAAUGAGCUGACGUAUGGAAUAUACAUUAUAUGAAAUUAUAUUUAAUUGUAUUUUAUUUCUAAAUUACAGUGUGAUCCCAAACUGUUCCUAAAAAAGAUUGUAAAUACAAUUAUAGAAUCACAAAAUAUCUCAAAUUGGAAGGGACUUAUAGGGAUCAUCAAGUCCAACUUGCUGCUCCUUGUAGCACUACCUAGAAAUAAACCAUAUAACUAAGAGCAUUGUCUGUAUGCUCCUGGAACUGUGACAGGCUUGGUGGAGUGACCACUUCCUGGGGAGCCUGUUCCAGUGACCAGCCACCCUCUCAGUGAAGAACAUUUUCCUAAUGUCCAAUCUGAACUUCCCCUGAUGCAGCUUAAUUCCAUUUCCUCGUAUCCUAUCACUGGUCACCAGAGAAAGGAGAUCAGCACAUCCCCCUCUACUUGAGGAAGCUGUAGUCUCUGAUGGGGUCACACCUCAGCCUUCUCUACUCCAAGCUGAACAAACUAAGUUACCUCAGUUGCUCCUUGAGAUCUUUCACCAGUUGGUGAAAGACACACGCUAAUAGUUUGAUGUCCUUCUCAUACCGAGGUGCCCAAAACUGUACACAGUACUCCAGGUGAGACGUCACCAGUGCAGUAUAGAUUGGGAUAAUCACCUCCCUUGAUCAGCUAGCUAUGCUGUUCCUGAUGCACUUCAGGACGUGGCUUACCCUUUUGGCUGCCAAGGCAUACUGUUGACUCAUAUUCAACUUGCCACCCACUCAGGCCCCCGUAUUUCUUUCCAUGGGGCUGCUCUCCAUCCUCUUGUCCCUCAGUUUGUACAUAAACCCAGGAUUAUUCCAUCCCAUGUGGUGAAUCUGCCACUUGCUCUUGUUAAAUUUCAUGAGGUUGGUGAUUGCCCAACUCUCUAAUCUAUCCAGACCUCUCUGUAAGACCUCUCUACCCUCAAUGGAGGCCAAAGCUCCUCCUAAUUUAGUGUCAUCAGCAAACUUACUUGAUGUACUUUUGAUUCCUGUCUCCAGAUCAUUUAUAAAAACAUUUACGAGAACUGGCCCUAAAAUUGAGCCCUGGGGAACCCCACUGCUGAUUGGCCACCAGCCUGAUGUAAUCCCAUUUACCAUAACUCUUUGAGCCUGACCCAUCAACUAGUUGCUCACCAAUUGCAUUAUGGACUUGUCUACCUUUGUGCUGGACAGUUUAUCCAGAAGCAUACUGUGAGAGGCAAUAUCAAAAUCUUUGCUAAAAUCCAAACCCACCACAUCUGCUGGCUUCCCUUCAUCAACCAAAUGAGUCACCUUGUCCUAAAAGGAGAUUAAGUUAAUUAAGCAGGACUUUCCUCUCAUGAACUUGUGCCGGCUAUGACCAGUGACUGCGUUGUCUCUCAAGUGUUUUUCAAUAAUCCCCAGAAUAAUCUUCUCUUCAUCAUUUCAGCAGGCACUGAAGUUAGACUGACAGACCUGUGAUUACUAGGGUAUUCUUUCUUACACUUCUUGACAGCUUCCAGUCAACUGGGACCUUUCCAGACUCCCAAGACCAUUGAAAAAUAAUGGAGAGAGAUCCCACUAUGGCACUGGCCAGUUCUUUCGGUACCCUGGCAUGAAUUCCUUUAGGACCUGUAGAUUUUUGUGCAUCCAGGUGGAGCAGCAAGUCUUUAAAACCUUCGGAGUUGGCUUGGAGUUUAUCAUUGCCCCAGUCAUGGUCUUCCAACACAAGGUCCAGGUGCCUCAGGGCCUGUUAUUAGUAUUGAAAACAGAGGCAAAGAAGGCAUAAAAAAUCUCUGCUUUGUCUACAUCCCUAUUUGUGAGGUGACCAACCUUAUCAAGUAAUGAACUAAUGUUAUCUCUAGUCUUCCUUUGCUGUUAAUAUAUUUUAAAAAGCCCUUUCUUUUGUCCUUCACAGCACUGACCAGCUUGAACUCAAAUCAAGAUUUGGCCACACGAAUUUUCUCCCUUCAGUGGUGAAAACUAUCGUAAAACCUUUGACAGACUUGAUGAAUGGCAUUUUUCUUAUCAAAGAUUUAGAUUUAUUGUUCUAAGCACUAUGAGUGCUUGGUAUACAUCUGCAGUUAAUAUUUCAAUUAACUCCUUUCUGGUGAAGUACAUUACAUGAAUCCUAAUUUAUGUAAAUACUAUCUACUGUUUGCUUGCUUAGCCACUUAUUGCACAAAACAGUCUUAUUAAACCAUAAUAUAAAGAAUUCCCAUAUUAACCUUACCCUUCUCCUCCCCACCUGGCCCCAAAUGAAGGACUUAACCAGAUUGAUUUAACAACUUCAAUCCAGUCUGGGGAAGCUACAUUAAUGAGGUGAAAAACAGUUAAGUCACGUAAGUAAUUCCCAAAGAAAAAUACCUAUUCUUAAUCUUGCAAGCAGUGCAUCAACAACUUUCAACAAAUAUCUUUGCUCUAAUGCUUUUGUCUAAUAAUUACAUUAUAGUGUAUAGUUCUCCAGAAAUUUUACAGAAAUGAAUUAUUAACUGUUUAAAAAGUAAACAUGUUUUUGAAAAACUAAAAACAACCUUAAUAUUGUCUGUGGUAACUUGAAAAAACUUGGGAUUUUCUAAAAGACCAUCAACUAUGCUAGAAUUCAUUUUGCAAAGAAUAAUUGAAUAUUCUGUCUACAUUAAAUAUAUGUUAUAUUAAUUAUUUGAGUGGGUUUAGUUUUCAUUUAUCUGGUUUGUACACAGACCACUAAAAAUAAGAUAAUGACAUGUAAUGACAUAAUAUCUAAGCUAAGUGAAUUUGCUACAUUUAUAAUGCUGGCAGUAUAAAUUCUAAUUAUAGAAUUAUAAGAACAUGCUAUUAAGAGUCAAAUAUGACAUAUUGUGUCGACAGGCUACUCUCUAAGAUUAUACUUAAUGGAUGCCUAUGGGAAUGUGGAAGAUUAGCAAGGUCGCAAAACCUGGAAAAUGCAUAUAUAAAGCAUAUUAUUAAAAGGAUUUUUUUUUUUUUUAAAGGAAUGAGAGUGAUGUAUUAUUGGAAAUGUAUUAUUGAAAUAUAUACUUGGAAGCUGUACGUUCAGUUAUAAGAGCGUUAUAAGUUAUAAUGUUAAAUUAUAAGAAUAUACUUAGUAUAAGAAUAUUUUGGUUCAUUAUGUUGUGUCUGUAAUUGCAAAAAAAGAAAAUGAUCCAACUUUUUGAUCAUGCCAAAGAUGAGCAGGUGAAUAGACAGCCACUAACAUUCCUUUGUCAAUAACUAUUCACACUCCGGCUAUUUUCUUUCAAAGCAUGAAGAUAUAAGAAUUGCAGAUGAGAAUUAGGAGAUGCCAUAUAGCUUCAUUUUAGCAAUUAUUUUGAUACUGCCUACAAUAUUUUUCCCAUAGGAUUGCUACCAGGUGAGCAAAAAAGCUGAUUGUAAAGAUGUAUAAAAAUAACAAUUAUUGAAGGUUUAUUGUGAAACCUGAAGAAUGGACUGAGCAGAAUUCUAAGGGGCUCUGUGAUGCCUGUAGUACUGUUCAGCAGUUUUAUUAACAGCCUGGCUGAUAGAAUGGAAAGUACACUGAUUAAAUUUACAGAUGACAUCAGCCUUCUGGAGUCUGUAAGCAUGUUGAAGUUGAAUUCAGAAUAAUUUUGAGAAACUGGAAAAAUGGUCAGAAAAAAAAAGAUGGAAUUCUACAAGGACAUCUGCAAGGUGGAAAUAAUCCACUGCAUGAAAUGAGGACAGAGAAUAAGAAGAAAUUGGGUUAUUUUAUCUAGACAAAAGGAGAAUGAAAGAUCAUGUGACAGCCUUUACAUAUAGAAGUUAUCUGCCAAGAGAAAGAGUUCUUUGGGAAGGAGUACUACAGAUCUGCUUGAUAUUGUGUGGAAAUCAGCUGGCUUUGACUAUUCUGAAUCUGGCUUCUAGUAUAAUAGUUUCAAAUGAAGGUCACAAGCUUUAACAAUGGAACAGUUCCUUCAUGCCCACUGUCCACUCACAGACUAUGGAAAUGGUCUUAGACAAAAAGCAAAUGCGAGUAAUUUUCACAUUUGUAUUCAAAAUGGGUCGGAAAGCGGCGGAGACAACUUGCAACAUCAACAGUGCAUUCAGCCCAGGAACUGCUAACAAAUGUACAGUGCGGUGAUGGUUCAAGAAGUUUCACAAUGGACAUGAGAGCCCUGAAGAUAAGGACUGUAGUGGCCAGCUAUUGGAAGUUGACAAUGAACAGUUGAGAGCAAUCAUGGAAGCUCAUGCUCUUACAAAUAUAGGAGAAGUUGCCAAAGAACUCAACGUCCACCAUUCUACAGUCAUUUGGCAUUUGAAGCUAAUUGGAAAGGUAAAAAAGCUCGAGAAGUGGGUGCUUCAUGAGCUGACCAAAAAUAAUAAAAAAAAAUAUUUUUAAGUACCAUCUUCUCUUACUUUACGCAACAGCAAUGAACCAUUUCUCAAUUGGAUUGUAACAUGUGACAAAAAAGUAGAUUUUAUACAACAACUGGCAAUGACCAGCUCAGUGGCUGGACUGAUAAUAAACUCCAAAGCACUUCCCAAAACCAAACUUGCAUCAAAAAGGUCAUGGUCACUGUUUGGUCGUCUGCUACUGGUCUGAUUGACUACAGCUUUCUGAAUCCCAGCGAAACCAUUACAUCUGAUUUUUAAACUACAGGAAUAAACAAACUUAUUUCUUGUUGGCAAAAAUGUGUUGAUUGUAAUGGUUCCUAUUUUGAUAAAUAGAUGUUUGAGCCUAGUUAUAAUGAUCGAAAAUUCAUGGUCCAAAACCACAAUUACUUUUGCACCAACCUAAUAUUUACAAAUGCUGCUAGAGAUCUCUUUUGUAACAACUAUUAGGCUACAAUAGCUAAAUAAACUGUCUGCUAUUAAUAAAAUAAAUUGUAAACUGGAUUCAUAAUUUUUGAGCAAAAUACGAACACAGUAGACAAUAUUUUCUAUUUUUUUGCAUAUGCUGUGCAAAGUAAGUAUAGACUACUUCUGUUCUGAUCUAGCAUCAUGUAUGAUCCACAUCACAUUCAGAUUGUGUUGAUGUAAAUAACUACAGGAUGUUCAGAGUUAUGAGAUCAACUUAAAACUGUUACUUAAAGGAAAAAUAAUUUAAAGAAAAGCUAUUUUCUUGAUAAGCUUUAUGACUAUUUCUGAAGAAGUGGUCACUGAAGAGUACUUGGUAUUCAGAUGCAAAAGCUGCAGCCAUUCUUGCAAACAUUAAUGGAUAAACCUUAAUUAUUUAGGUUUGGAGUAUGGGAGCUAGAGGUGCUUAUACAGAAAUAGUGCAAGAUCAGUAAUAAAAGUGUCGGGAGUUGCUGAAUCCAGUAGGAAUCCAGUAGGCAGCUGAGGCUGCCAUGGCUCCAGGUCCAGCCUGAGACUGAUUGUGUUCCCUAUAGACACCCAUGCACACAGUACGUACGCAUAUGGCUGGGCACACAGAUUAACACAACUGACACACUUAGCACUCACACAGACACAAACAGUAUCGAUGGCCUUAUCAUUUCCCUUCUCUAGACAAUCAGAAUGAAGGUCCCUUUAUCGGAAACACAUACCCAAAUCUACAAUGUGGAUCCCUUCAAUCUGCCCAGUAACUGACCUCUGGAUGCCAGCUGCUGACUCUUGCAUAUUGUGAGUCCACAAGACCCACAGUUCCACUCCAGUUUCAACUCCCCCUCAACCACAGACACACACACAUGCACAGCCAUGCACAGGUGCAAUAUGGAUCCACCAAAGGAAUUCUCCUAAGCAACCUGUAGUGUUUCAGUGGUGUUAUUUUCAAGAUUGAAACAGAAUUUCUGUUUCAGAGGUAGGAGAAAGGGUAUUGUAAAAAGCAUGAGAAAGACACAGUAAUACAAAGAGAAAAGAAUGGAGAAGUCAAGAUAGGACAGUAAGCAAAGGGAGUUCCUCAGGGUAUGUGGAAAUGAAGCAUACCACAGAGGAUUUAGCCUUGACCUUCACGCAAUCUAAUUGAUUGUAAGCAUUUUGCAG